UCGGGGCGGAGCGGCUGCCCCGCCGACCGCCGGAGCGCUCACGGGCCGGGAGCCGUGGGGCUGCUCGGUGCCUGCUCGCACGAGCGGCUCUGGAGGGGCGGGCGCUGCAGGCGGGUGUUUGUGCGCUCUGAUAACUACCCAGGUAGUUGGGUACUGCCAAGCGUCCGGGUGCCGCUGGAUAGCUCUGUGCUCCGCCGAUGCAACAUUAGCAGGCUGCCAUUUGGGCUGCCCCUCUACAUCUGGCACAGAGAAACCUGGAGCAGAGCACGAGGGCUCUCACCAUGCUCCCUGUCAGCACCUUGUUCUAACUGGUGAGCCAACCGAUACCUCAAAUUAAUUGUAGCCUCAUCGUAUGUAUGCUAUUGCCAGGGCUCAGAAUGAUUGGGAACGGACUGUUGCUUCUGAUUGAGAUAGAAGAGAUAUAAUAUGUAAUAUACCCACCAUGGGCUAGGCUAACAAGAAGGAGCACUGCAGCAGCUGAGAGGAUACCAUAUACUUACCAUCUGAGAUGGCUGACUCCCGGGAUAGAGGUCAGCUCUGAUGUCCUAUCUAGUUUUUCAAAGUACUCUUGCUUAUUAUAAUUAUUUUUUUAAACACACAAGCUUAAAGCCAAGCUGGUUAAGGCCAUGCAAUAAAUUAUUCCUUUGUCUUUAAGUUCAGUGUUUGUUUC